rnacentral:rRNA from 1 species
UACGUAGGGGGCAAGCGUUGUCCGGAAUUAUUGGGCGUAAAGCGCACGCAGGCGGUCUGCUAAGUUUGGAGUGACAGUUGGUGGCUUAACUGCCAAAGUGCUUCGAAAACUGACAGACUUGAGGGCUUCAGAGGGACACGGAAUUCCGGGUGGAGUGGUGAAAUGCGUAGAGAUCCGGAGGAACACCAAAGGCGAAGGCAGUGUCCUGGGGAGUACCUGACGCUCAGGUGCGAAAGCCAGGGGAGCGAACGGG